rnacentral:rRNA from 1 species
CCUACGGGAGGCAGCAGUAAGGAAUAUUGGGCAAUGGACGCAAGUCUGACCCAGCCAUGCCGCGUGGAGGAUGAAGGUCCUCUGGAUUGUAAACUUCUUUUAUUUGGGAAGAAACUCUCGAUUUCCAUCGGGAUUGACGGUACCAAGUGAAUAAGCACCGGCUAACUCCGUGCCAGCAGCCGCGGUAAUACGGAGGGUGCAAGCGUUAUCCGGAUUCACUGGGUUUAAAGGGUGCGUAGGUGGGAAGGUAAGUCAGUGGUGAAAUCUCCGGGCUUAACCCGGAAACUGCCAUUGAUACUAUCUUUCUUGAAUACCCUGGAGGUGAGCGGAAUAUGUCAUGUAGCGGUGAAAUGCUUAGAUAUGACAUGGAACACCCAUUGCGAAGGCAGCUCACUACGGGAAUAUUGACACUGAGGCACGAAAGCGUGGGGAUCAAACAGGAUUAGAUACCCUGGUAGUCCACGCCCUAAACGAUGAUCACUCGACAUCAGCGAUACACAGUUGGUGUCUGAGCUAAAGCAUUAAGUGAUCCACCUGGGAAGUACGAUCGCAAGAUUGAAACUCAAAGGAAUUGACGG